UCGAGAAUCUUUAGCAAUGGACGAAAGUCUGACUAUGCUACGCCGCGUGAGUGAUGAAGGUCUUCGGAUCGUAAAGCUCUGUUAGGCGGGAGGAAUAUCCCAUUCCUAAUAGGAAUUGGGAGAUGACAGUACCGUCAGAGGAAGCCACGGCUAACUCCGUGCCAGCAGCCGCGGUAAUACGGAGGUGGCGAGCGUUACUCGGAUUUACUGGGUGUAAAGGGUAUGUAGGUGGACUAUUAAGUCGAAUGUGAAAUCCCACAGCUUAACUGUGGAACUGCAUUCGAAACUGAUGGCCUUGAGUACAGGAGAGGAGAAUGGAAUUCCCGGUGUAACAGUGAAAUGUGUAGAUAUCGGGAGGAACACCAGUGGCGAAAGCGAUUCUCUGGUCUGAUACUGACACUGAAAUACGAAAGCAUGGGGAGCAAACAGG
rnacentral:rRNA from 1 species